CCAGUGCUCGAGUGCUGUCUAAUAAGUUCGAGCGCCAUCAGUAGACAGGGGUUCAAAUCUUGUUCAGGUCCUCAACCUGCGCAACCUACUACUGUCUUCAUCGUUUCCCCCAGGAGAGCCGACAUCUGCCCACCCCCAUCGCAUUUCCCUGCUGGCGCCGAACGGGUCUUCCUGGUUGACAUCAUCUCAACCAACACAGCCUCGCCUUUGCAAAGGGGCGGCGACACCUGGACCAUGGACUGCAAGACCAGGAACCACUGACAAGGUGCAC
rnacentral:lncRNA from 1 species